rnacentral:rRNA from 1 species
CACGUAGGGCGCAAGCGUUGUCCGGAAUUAUUGGGCGUAAAGAGCUCGUAGGUGGUUUGCUGCGUCCGCUGUGAAAACCCAAGGCUUAACCUUGGGCUUGCAGUGGAUACGGGCAGACUAGAGGUAGGGAGGGAGAAUGGAAUUCCCGGUGUAGGCGGUGAAAUGCGCAGAUAUCGGGAGGAACACCGGUGGCGAAGGCGGUUCUCUGGGCCUUACCUGACACUGAGGAGCGAAAGCGUGGGGAGCGAACAGG